rnacentral:misc_RNA from 1 species
AACGCACAUUGCGCCCUCUGGUAUUCCGGGGGGCAUGCCUGUUCGAGCGUCAUUACAACCCUCAAGCUCUGCUUGGUAUUGGGUGUUACCGUUUUGGUACACCUUAAAAUCAGUGGCGGUGCCACCUGGCUUCUAGCGUAGUAAUACUCCUCGCUAUGGAAUUGGGUGUAUAUUUGCCAUCAACCCCUAUUUUUUAAGGUUGACCUCGGAUCAGGUAGGGAUACCCGCUGAACUUAA